AGCACCAAUGAUCUUAUCCUCUCAACUCUCUCUCUCUCUCUCAAAAGUCUCCCCUAUCUUCGACCAAAAAAAAAGUCUUUUCUCUCUCUCUCUUUCUCUCUCUACCUUGAUAUUCAUGUUUUUCUAUUAUGAUAUCUGAUGCAAUUGUGUUUUUCUUUGCAGAAAGGGAUUGAAGAGAUUAGAUCUUAAGUUAAGGAGAUCUGGAGGCUGCCUCAAUCACUCUGUGCCUCAAUCACUCUGUGAUUGAAAGAACCUACAGCUUGUUCAUCUUGCUUCAACCCACCAUGGAUAAGAUUGAGCAACAACACAAUCAUAUCCCCAAUACCACAGCUAGACUUUUCCACUGACUGCCGUUGCCUGAAAUUAUUUAUGAUCUAUGAGCUCGUGCCAAAUCUGAGCCUCCUAGAGGCUUUACUGGACUGGAAAGAAGAUCGUGACCUGCCGGUAAUUAAUAGCGGUGUGAAGCCCAACAAUUUGUGGGACUCGGAUUUCAACACAAAGUUUGAGGAUUUUAGGCUGGCAGAGAUUGGAAACAGAGGGUGAGUUGGAUCGGGGAUAUCAAGUGGUGGUGGAAGAAGAUGAUGAGGGAGAGAUUGAGAAAGAAGAGUCUUUUGGCAGAUGUGGGCAUUUGGGAAGAGGAGAGCCGGAGUAUGAGUGUGGUGACUAGUGAGUGGUGGAAUGUAAAGGCCGGUCGCCGGAUUAUUGUACUGUUCCGAUUUCAGAUUAUGAAAUCCGAUCGUUGGCUGGACUGGACAGUGGAUACUUGACCAUCAAUAAAAUCUAUUAAAAU